GAUGAACGCUGGCGGCGUGCUUAACACAUGCAAGUCGAACGGUGAAGGCGGAGCUUGCUCUGCUGGAUCAGUGGCGAACGGGUGAGUAACACUUGAGCAAUCUGCCCCUGACUCUGGGAUAAGCGCUGGAAACGGCGUCUAAUACUGGAUACGAGCUGCGAAGGCAUCUUCAGCAGCUGGAAAGAACUUCGGUCAGGGAUGAGCUCGCGGCCUAUCAGCUUGUUGGUGAGGUAACGGCUCACCAAGGCGUCGACGGGUAGCCGGCCUGAGAGGGUGACCGGCCACACUGGGACUGAGACACGGCCCAGACUCCUACGGGAGGCAGCAGUGGGGAAUAUUGCACAAUGGGCGAAAGCCUGAUGCAGCAACGCCGCGUGAGGGACGACGGCCUUCGGGUUGUAAACCUCUUUUAGCAGGGAAGAAGCGAAAGUGACGGUACCUGCAGAAAAAGCGCCGGCUAACUACGU
rnacentral:rRNA from 1 species